CUUACCAGGUCAAGACAUGGGCGUGAUUGACAGGCUAAUGACUUUUCUCGAUUCCAUGGAUGGUGGUGCAUGGUCGCACUUAGUUGGUGCAGUGAUUUGUCAGGUUUAUUCCGGUAACGAACGAGACCUCGGCCUUGUAAAUAGCUAUGCUGCUUACAGGGACAUUGGCGGCUACGCCAAGGAAGCUCGAGGCAAUUGCAGAUCUGGAAUGCCCUUAGAUGUCCUGGGUCGCACGCGUGCUACAAUGACGCCACGAACGAGCUUGCGUGAUGAAAGUUACGCAUAAUCAGCAGUCGGCGUCUUAAGGGAUAGUCUCUUGUAACUGUGGGACUCCAACUAGGAAUGUCUCGUAAGCACAAGUCAACAUCUUGUGUUGAUUACGUCCCUGCUCUUUGUACACUCCGCCCGUCGCUCCUACCGAUCGAGUGUUUAGGUGAAAUUUGAUGGACGUAAGGAAGUCAAAUAAACCUGAGCACUAGAGGAAGGAGAAGUCGACAUGC
rnacentral:rRNA from 1 species